rnacentral:lncRNA from 1 species
CCCCUCUCUUUUCUAAAAUAAGGGUGAUCUUAUCCAAUGGUUCUUAUUUUAUAUUCUUAAUUUAGCAAGAUAAAAAUGUGAGCAGCUGCACGCCAGCCCCCAAACUCUAGGGGAGGUUUUUCUGGUUCACAGACUGUCUCAGGUUCGAGCCUCCUUAGGGCACCCCCUUUCCGUCCACCUUAGCCUGGAACUGAGACUUCUUUUUCUUUUGUAUCCGUCCUUCUCAGAUGUCAUAUUUGUAUUUUCCAAAACAAUCUAGUUGAAGAAAUCCUAUUCGGUAUGUUGAAAUCUUUAUGCUCCCAGCUCAAACUCUGGAUUAACAACAAAACAGAGGAAAACUCUUUUUCUUAUUCAGCAGUCAAACUUCAAGGCAACUUCAGCCCUGGGAACUCAGCCAGUUGCUGGGAAGUAAAGGAAUCAAAGGCUUCUAAACAGUAAAAAAUGUCUUUAGAAUAGAGCUCGGCUCAGAGGGAGCUUUGGCCUUCCUGCAAAUUAAGAAUAAUGAUUUGGUGAGCUUGUUUAUCUCCCCUCCACCAGCAAGGCUUGGUCUCCCCAGGGGUAACCGGCUGCAGAUUCAAGAGGAAACUGGGAGGGCUGUCUGGGGCUGGAGAAGGAGGCAGCUCCAAUACGCCAGGGUCAGGCAGUGUAGGGGCAAAGAGGUCUCCUUACUUCCACAGCACCGAGUCAUCGAAGUUUACAAGACACUUCUACGUUGAUCUGGAAAAAGGAGGUGCUCCUAGUACAUCUUAGAAAGAUUUCCAUAAAACGGGCUAAAAAGCAAUCAUAAAACCACAACAAAACACAAACAGGCAAGGGAAAGGAUAAACUUCCAUCACCUGGAAGCCUCAGAGACAGGAGAGGGUACACAGGUGAGAGCCUUGGCUGGGUGGGAGGUAGGAGUCAGACCGGACCCUCUGCAGAAUUAGCAGUGGUGUGCACUCACCUCUGGAGCUGUUCCUCUGAGAUGGGCCUGGCCCGCUAGAUAAUUGGAGGGUCCUGCAUCUCAUGGCAGUUUCCACCACGCCCUGCUGCAGCUCGCACCCAGAGCCCUCUGAUCACGGGAGUGGGCAGCUGCCAUUUACUGCUGCACCGUUCUGACCAUGUGCCCCACGUUAUUUCAUGUAGCCCUCGCUACUGCUGUGUCCAGGAGGCUCAGAGAGGUCAAGUUACUUACCUAAGGUCACACAGCUGGUAUGUGCCAGAGCUGGGAAGAGAACGUGCAUUUGUAUGACUCCGGGAUGUUGGCUUUCUGCCUUGACGCCCCAGCCUCUUCAGCUGUGGCUGGUGGCAGGUCCUGGGCCUCUAGCGAGGACGUGCCUGGCUGUGGGCCCAGCCUGGGAUUGACCUCACACCCUCUCUCACACCUGGGGCUUCACUGACAGCAGCGGGCACAGUGCCUUCCUUUCUCUUUCCCUAGACACCAGCUCUGACCCUCCAAUUUCCACCAUGAUCACAGUGUUCUCAGAGUCAGGCAGCAUAUGAGGAAAAUUGCCCUUUCCCUGGAAUAAUUUACCAUCUUGUUAUUUCCGUUACCUGACCCUGUUGGAGCCUAUUCCGUGCUGAGCUGUUUGAAUUUCCAGCUUGGAAAUCCCCAGGCUGGGCGGGAAAUGCUGUUUCCUGAGGGAGGAGCAGACGAGGGAGGUGCUGCCUGCAGGCUUGGCGGAGGGUCAGGGGGUGUUUGGGACAGGGACACAGUGGGGAGGGGGCUGAGGACAGAAACCAGGCAGCAUUUGUGAUUCUUCUGAAUCCAGAGGGGCUUGUGUGAUGAAAUUCCACGGGGCUCUGCCAGGCUGAUACGUGGGAAGGGUGGCAGAGGGCUACUGCGACCUACAGGCAGGGGGUGGUCCUAGGAAGGCAAAGGCAUUGGUAGGAAUGCAGAGAGGGCUACAGAAAGCAAGGGGACUCCUGGGCUAGGCCCUGGACCGGGGCACAGAGUAAGGCUGUUGAGGGUGUUGAUUUCAGUUUUUGACAAGUCGAGGAUCCUCCGGAUACCACGUGACAACACACAGCUUAAGAGCACGGGCCUUGGGCUCAAAUCCUCGCUCUGUCACUCGCCGGCGGUGUGGUCCUGUGCAAGUCGACGGACUUCUCUCAGCCUCAGUUUCCUCCUCUGUGAAGUGGAGGGAAUGGUGUCCACCCCCCAUUAUUCCUUUAAUGUGAGCGCUAACUCAGGGCAAGUGUGUAAAGACCCAGUCUGGCCUCCAGCUGGGGUCCAUCUGACCCAGGUGGUGGCUGUUUUCAGGGAUCAACUCUCCCCAGUUUGCUGGGAACUUUCCUGGUUUUAGCCCUGAAAGUCCCGCAUCUUGUGAAACCCAUUGGUCCUGGAAAACCUGGAUGGUUGCUCACUCUGCCUGUGUUCUCCCGCUCCUCAUUGCACUAAAAGUGCCAGGUCAUGUCUGUGUCCUGGGGAAGGCCGAAGCCCUUGCUAAGGUUUCUGUAAUAUCACCUGUGGCUCUGAGGCCUGCUUUGGCUGAGUUAAUUCGGUGUUGAGGUCGAUACGUGUGCUUGCACACGUUUCUGAAUCGCAGAGACUCAGAUGUGACAUUCAGCCCCCGUUCCCCCCAGAUCCAUAGGCACAAAGCAUCUGGGUGUUGGAGACACCGCAGACGUUUGGGGUGGGAUGGGGGCGCUGAGAUCACUGUAGUGCAAUCCACAGGCACAAGGCACCUGGGUGUGGGAGACACCGCAGACGUUUGGGGUGGGAUGGGGGCGCUGAGAUCACUGUAGUGCAAUCCAUAGGCACAAGGCACCUGGGUGUGGGAGACACCGCAGACAUCUGGGGUGGGAUGGGGGCGCUGAGAUCACUGUAGUGCAAUCCACAGGCACAAGGCACCUGGGUGUGGGAGACACCGCAGACGUCUGGGGUGGGAUGGGGGCGCUGAGAUCACUGUAGUGCAAACAGCAUCAAAUGGAACAUGACACACAACUCCUUUGGCCGCCCCCUGAAAGUGUGGGGGAUGCAGGGGUGGAAGGGAGCUUCACUCAGGGACCUCCUGCCUCAACCCCUCACUCUGACCUCUGCUCUUUCCUCUAAAUUUUGUUCGUUUCUAACGUCUCUUUUGUGGCCUUGGCCCCGGAUUGAAAUGUGCCCUUUAAAAGCAUUUUUCCUAAACGAAGACAAUUCCUCUCCAAGAGGAGCUGUUCCCUCCCCAGCUGUUCAGAAAAUCCAGGUGUGUUUCCACCUGCAACAAUGCCGAGCUGUCAGCUUAGACUUGGAAGGCCGUAAGAGCUGGGGAAGGCCACAUUUGGGGUCUGGUUCCAGGCCUUGCCGGUCACCAUCCCUGGCUGUAUUAGUCCUUUCUUGCACUGCUAUAAAGUACCCAAGGCUGGGUAAUUGGUAAAGAAAAGCAAAGUAAUGGGCUCACGGUUCCUCAGGCUGUACAGGAAGCUUGAUGCUGGCAUGUGCUCAGCUUCUGAGGAGGCCUCAAGAAACUUACAAUCAUGGCAGAAGGCUAAGGGGAAGCAGGCAUGCCACACGGUCAGCGCAGCAGCAAGAGAGUGAGGCGGGAGGUGCUACCCACUUGUAAAUGGCCGAGCUCGUGAGGACUCACCAAGGCGGAUGGUGCUCAACCAGUCAUGGGAAAACCGCCCCCGAGAUCUAGUCGCUUCCCACCAGGCACCACCUCCAACGCUGAGGGUUACAAUUGGACAUGACACGCGGGGGGGACACAGAUCCAAACCACGUCAUCAGCUCUUUCAGAGGGAGAUGGCUCUGGACCCCAAUUUAGAGUCCGGCUGAUUUGCUCUCCCAGGUGCGCCUGGCACAGCUCUCAGGUUCUGCAGGAGCCGCUGGGCUUGGAUGAAGGGCCCUCCCGCAGGGUGAGGCGCCUGGCGACCUGGCCCGGUCUCACCCCACAGCCUAGGGCAGAGAUGCCACAAAGUCACAGACUUUCAGGGCCCAGAGACCCUGGAGUGCGUCUGACUCGACCUCGUGUUUCACAGGGAAUCUGAGGCCCGCACUGGCCAAGUGACCUGUCUGUACUUACACACUCUGGAGGCAGCAGAGUGGAGGAGAGUGGUGCUAUGGCCUGAGUGAUUUAUUUUAAAAUACAGUCAUGCAUUGUAUAACGAAGUUUGUCAAUGACAGGCUGUAUAUCCAGCGGUGGUCCCAUAAGACUACAAAGCAUCUGAAAAUUCCCGUUGCCUAGUGACGUUGCGGCGUGUAAUGCCACAGUGCAACGCGUUAUCCCUUGUUUGUGGUGACGCCGGUGUGAACACACCUACUACACUGCCAGUCACAUACGAGUGGACAGUAAUGCCCUGGGCCCUCACACUCACCACACACUGACUCUCCCACAGCGACUCCAGUCCCACAAGCUCCAUUCACGGGAAGUGCUCUAUACACCUGUGCCAUUUUAAAACAUCUUUUAUGCCGUAUUUUUACUGUACCCUUUCUAUGAUUAGCUACACACAUAAUUCCACGGUGUCGCAGUUGCUACAUGCUGCACAGGUUUGUAGCCCAGGAGCCCAGGCUCUCCCACGUAGCCUCGGUGUGCUGUAGGCUCUGCCACUUAGAUUUACGUCCGUGCUAUCAUGUCUGCACAAUGAUGAAAUUGCCUGACAACACAUUUCUUGGAAGUAUCCCUGUCGUAUCCUGGUUGUUACGUGACACAUGCCCGUACUUCUGUGUGAAUGAGUUUGAGUAAGAUCUCAUCUGCACACACAUCAAGGGCUGGCUAAUUAACAUGCCCAGUAAAUCAGUUAAUCCUCAUCUGUAGAAACACUGUAGGGUUGCCGUAUUAGCAUAAGGAAUGUGGCAGUGGGUUUUCUUUCAUUUAUUUACUGUUUUUGAAUAGGGUCUUGUUUUGUUACCCAGGCUGAGUGCAGUGGCAAGAUCAUGGCUCACUACAGCCUCCAACUUCUGUGCUCAAGCAAUCCUCCUGCCUCAGCCUCCCAAGUAGCUGG